rnacentral:rRNA from 1 species
CCUACGGGUGGCAGCAGUAGGGAAUCUUCCACAAUGGGCGAAAGCCUGAUGGAGCAACGCCGCGUGGGUGAAGAAGGUCUUCGGAUCGUAAAACCCUGUUGUUAGAGAAGAAAGUGCGUGAGCGUAACCGUUCCCGUUUCGACGGUAUCUAACCAGAAAGCCACGGCUAACUACGUGCCAGCAGCCGCGGUAAUACGUAGGUGGCAAGCGUUAUCCGGAUUUAGUGGGCGUAAAGGGAACGCAGGCGGUCUUUUAAGUCUGAUGUGAAAGCCUUCGGCUUAACCGGAGUAGUGCAUUGGAAACUGGCAGACUUGAGUGCAGAAGAGGAGAGUGGAAUUCCAUGUGUAGCGGUGAAAUGCGUAGAUAUAUGGAAGAACACCAGUGGCGAAAGCGGCUCUCUGGACUGUAACUGACGCUGAGGUUCGAAAGCGUGGGUAGCAAACAGGAUUAGAUACCCUAGUAGUC